rnacentral:lncRNA from 1 species
AAGGUCCCACCCAGAUUGUGGGCUAAGCCUCCCCUUUCAUGACCCUCAACUGAAAUCAUGACUUUUGCCAUGGAAUGCAGAGAUGAGAUCCUGGGGCAGCGGCAAGUUGAGAGGAAAAGGGAAGCAGAAGAAGACAAGGUGUUCUGCCAGAGAGACAGACGGACACAGUAGAAUUCAAAUCCAACCAUACCGCAGAGAGACCCCACGGCAACUAACAUUUAAAACACAAGCGAACCCAGAGGGCAGAAGAAGAAAUGCUGAUAAAUGAAUCUGUGAAAGACAUUUAAAACUUUUAUAUGGUGCGGAUGAAGAUGAUGGCAGUGAGCAGCCGCAGACAGACACUGCAAGACUGAACAAAUACUUCACAUACUACAAAUAAGAAUGGUGUUGGGUAGGAUGGUGUACACCUUUGAUCCCAGCACUUGGAGGAGGCAGAGGCGGGUGGACCUCCCAGUUCCAGGUUAGCCAGGGCUACACCAUGAGAACCAGUUUCACAAAACGACGACGACAGGCCAAACAAACCCAAAGUAGGGACGGUCAAAAUUACUUGGAGAAAACGUUCACCUUCAUAGUGCUUAAAAAGAUGAAACCAUGA